rnacentral:lncRNA from 1 species
CCAGAUUCUCGCAGUGCUCUGUGGUGGUGCAUGUAAUAUCCUGGACAUAAUCUGUCUUUUAAUUUUCUUUGGAUUGUAGUGAUAUUACAGAUACAUGUGUUCAGUUAUAGAUCUUUAUUUAAUAAGAAGAAUGCUUUAGCUGAAGAUUUGUACUAUGUCAGAAGUGGGCAACUCACAAUAAUGUUACUGGAGGUUUAGCCCAGGAAUUCUUUUGGGAUGAUGAGAGGGGCUCAUCCAAAAUGUUACAAGCAUGCCUGGACACUGAUUCAGACCUUUUGAAGAUUUCAGAAGAAAAUGACAUGUGUCCUCAAUAGAAACUUCACUGAGAUUUGCACAUGGUGUUCACCAUGGGCCACACUCUGCAUCAGCAGAAACUCCCACAUUGCAGAUGGUGGAAGCUGGACAAAUUAGAGGGC